rnacentral:tRNA from 1 species
UGCCGACUAGCUCAAUUGGCAGAGCGCCUGACUCUGGAUCAGGAGGUUCGGGGUUCGAUCCCCUGGUCGGCAGCCA